AUUUGCUUAAGAAGGAAUAAUAUUACAGAGAUAUAGACUGGACAUCAUUUUAGAGUAACAGUAUCAAUGGAGACCUUGAUGUUGUUUAUACCUCUGGGUAGAAGUAUUACAAUCUUUUAUAAUCCCAGAGAAACUUUGCAAGAGUUGUUCUUUCCACAAUUGCAAACAUGAAGCUCUCGUGGGCACCAUGUUGGGUGAGGAGCCCUUGUGUUUUUAUAUGGAAACAAUUUUUCACACCAUGGGCUGCUUUGUUCUUUUCAUUAAAAAAGAAGUCUCUGUAAAAACUAAGUAAAUAAAUAAAAUUUAGACCCUUGAUUCAAGUCCCCUGAUUUUAUAGAGUUGCAAAAAUGUAAGACAUGUCACUUUUGCAGACCCCUGCCUCACCUCUUCAGAGUCAGGUGAUCUUUAGGGCACAGAAAUGCUUCUCUAGUCAUGAGCUGAAAAGACUCUAAGCCCUAAUUUCAUGGAGGUAUUCACAUGCUUACCCUGGAAAAUACUCUUUGAUAGUCAGGUCUGCAAGUAAGUGAUUAUCUUGUUAGAAAUCACAGAAAAAUUCAUUUUUCUCUGGACAUUAUAGGAAAAUCCUGGCCUUACUUCUUUUCCUAUUGGCAUGGUUACUCUGUUUUCCUCACUUACUGCCACCUCAGUUCAAAGUGGCCCUCAUGAUGCUGUGCCUGUCUCAAGCCAUAAUAGAACUCUGAGGUCCCACACGUUGCUUUGUGAAAUACUGAUUUAGCCUCUGCCCUCAAACGUCUGACUUUUCCAUAAAAGGUACUAACAAUCUGGACAUUGUUUAAAUUAUUUCUUAAAUAAAUGACUGCACAGAGUAUGCUUUAUGUAAUUAAAAUUAUGCUUUUCCAU
rnacentral:lncRNA from 1 species